AGAGUUUGAUCCUGGCUCAGAUUGAACGCUGGCGGCAUGCCUAACACAUGCAAGUCGAACGGGAGUAGCAAUACUCUAGUGGCGGACGGGUGAGGAAUACGUAGGGAUUUGCCCUUAAGUGGGGGAUAGUCGGGGGAAACUCCGUUUAAUACCGCAUGAUCUCGAAAGAGCAAAGCAGGGGAUCGCAAGACCUUGCGCUUUUGGAGGAACCUACGUCUGAUUAGCUAGUUGGUGAGGUAAUGGCUCACCAAGGCGACGAUCAGUAACUGGUCUGAGAGGAUGAUCAGUCACACCGGAACUGAGACACGGUCCGGACUCCUACGGGAGGCAGCAGUGGGGAAUAUUGGACAAUGGGCGAAAGCCUGAUCCAGCAAUGCCGCGUGUGUGAAGAAGGCCUUCGGGUUGUAAAGCACUUUAAGUUGGGAAGAAAAAACUUUGGCCAAUAUCCAAAGUCUUGACGGUACCGACAAAAUAAGCACCGGCUAACUCUGUGCCAGCAGCCGCGGUAAU
rnacentral:rRNA from 1 species